GUGGAGGAGUAUGCAGAAAAGUGGCUGUGGUCUUUUCACUGAACGUUUGUGUCUGGAGCGUUCACUAGCUUCUACCUCUCUCGCUCUCUCUCUCUCUCUCUCUCUCUCUCGCUCGCUCUCUCUCUCUCUCUUGCUCUCGCUCUCAUUGUUGCUCAUGGGUGGAGGUUGGAACUGGAUUUAACUGACUCCUAAAGGAAAAGUAAAGUAAAAUAGAGGAGCAGAGCACAACGUAUGUCGUACAUGCUUUUCAAAUAUCUCGGUCCGUUGCACAGAACGGACGUCUGAAGUUGUGGAGAAGUGGAUGAACCUCCAAAUUCUGCAUGGACUUGAUUUUUUUCAUGCAAAGGGCAGGAGACUGACACACUCCAUGUAUCUUCCUGCCAAUAUGCGCCAAGUGUACUUACCAGUGAGAGAUGGGUUAGUGGAGCAGACUGACUCCUCCGCCUCAUAUCGGUCAUACUUUUCCAGCCAUCAAUAGACGGAUGACCCAGGCGGAGCGGAGGUGAUGGAGGAAUGGGCAGAGAGCAAAGCUCCCACACACACUGAAUGUCUGUCUAUCCUUCUCACUGUUUCCACAGAGGAAGGAAAGAGAGGUGAUUGAAUGAGCUGUGCUUCACAAUCCUUCUCUGUUCAUCUCUGAAUCUUCUUCUGUCCUCCUUUUGU